rnacentral:rRNA from 1 species
UACAGAGGUCUCAAGCGUUGUUCGGAUUCAUUGGGCGUAAAGGGUGCGUAGGCGGCGCGGUAAGUCGGGUGUGAAAUCUCAGAGCUCAACUCUGAAACUGCACUCGAUACUGCUUUGCUCGAGGACUGGAGAGGAGAUUGGAAUUCACGGUGUAGCAGUGAAAUGCGUAGAUAUCGUGAGGAAGACCAGUGGCGAAGGCGGAUCUCUGGACAGUUCCUGACGCUGAGGCGCGAAGGCCAGGGGAGCAAACGGG